GUUGUCUGCAGACCCGGAAGCGGGUUUCGUGGAGCCGAGGCCAGUCUGUGGAGUGAUUGAAUUCUCAAGACUGAUCUUGUCUGAGGAAGAAGCCUGGAAGAGGAGGAAGAGGAAAGGAAGGAGUCUGGAAUGGCUGUUUAUCAGGGAUGGUUGACCUUCAGGGAUGUGGCCAUAGAAUUCUCUGAGGAGGAGUGGGAGUGCCUGGACCCUGCUCAGAGGGCCUUGUACAGGGACGUGAUGGUGGAGAACUACAGGAACCUGGUCUUCCUGGCCAUCUCUUCCAAAUGUAUGAUCAAGGAAUUACCACCCAAAGAGAACAAUAAUACAGGGGAAGUAUUGCAGACGGUUAUAUUGGAAAGACAUAAAAGCCGUGACACCGAAGAUUAUGCCUUUAGAGCAAUCCAGAAAAAUAUUCGUGACUUUGAGUGUCAGUGGGGAGACGGUGAAAGAAAUUACAAAGCAGUGCUUGUGACCCUUAACAAAAAUCUCAAUGGUGGAAGAGAUCAAUAUGGUGGAAGAGAUGCAGGAAAUAAACCAAUUGAAAACAGGUUUGGACUAAGCUUUCAGUCACAUCUGGCUGGAGUGCAGAUACUUCAUACUGAAGGGAAAAUUUACCAAUAUCACCAAGCUGAGAAGUCUGUCAACGAUGGGUCUUCAGUUUCACCACAUCCCAGAAUUCUUCCUAGUGUCCACACCAACAUUUCUAACAAACGUGGGAAUGAUUUCUUGCGUUCUUCAUUACUCACACAAGACCAGAAAGCACACCUUAGGGAAGAACCUUACAAACGUGAUGAGUGUGACAAAGCAGUUAAUCCCAGUUUACACCUCACUAGACAUCAGAUAAUCCAUCCAGGAGAGAAACCAUAUAAAUGUGAUGUAUGUGGGAAGGUCUUCAGUCACAACUCACACCUUGCAUGUCAUCGAAGAAUUCACACUGGAGAGAAACCUUACAAAUGCGUUGAGUGUGGCAAGGUGUUCAGUCGCAAUUCACACCUUGUACGUCAUCACAGGAUUCACACUGGGGAGAAACCUUACCACUGCAAUGAGUGUGGCAAAGCCUUUAGUGAGUGUUCAAGUCUUACUAACCAUCAGGUAAUCCACACUGGGGAGAAACCUUACAAGUGCAAUGAAUGUUGCAAGGUCUUCAGUCAGAGUUCAGGCCUUGCAAGCCAUCGAAGAAUUCAUACUGGAGAGAAACCUUACAAAUGUAAUGAGUGUGGCAAAGCCUUUACGUAUAGCUCACAACUCACUAACCACCAGGUAAUCCAUACUGGUGUGAAGCCUUACAAAUGUACUGAGUGUGGCAAAGCCUUUAAUCAGAGCUCACAUCUCACUAGACAUCAAAUAAUCCACACAGGAGAGAAACAUUACAAGUGUGACGAAUGUGGGAAGGUCUUCAGUUACGAUUCACACCUUGCACGUCAUCGCAGGAUUCAUUCUGGAGAGAAGCCUUACCAGUGUAACGAGUGUGGCAGAGCCUUUAGUAUGUAUUCAAGCCUUACUUACCAUCAGGUAAUCCACACUAGAGAGAAACCUUACAAAUGUAAUGAAUGUGGCAAGGUCUUCAGUCAGAGUUCGAGCCUUCCUAGUCAUCGGAGAAUUCAUACUGGAGAGAAACCAUACAAAUGUAAUCAGUGUGGCAGAUCUUUUAUUCAACGCUCAAACCUCACUAGACAUCAGAUGAUUCAUACAGGAGAGAAACCAUAUAAAUGUAAUGUAUGUGGGAAGGUCUUCAGUCAAAAUUCGAGCCUUGCAAGUCAUCAGAGAAUUCAUACUGGGGAGGAAAAACCUUACAAAUGUCAUGAUUGUGGCAAAACCUUUAAUCAGGGCUCACACCUCACUAGACAUCAGAUAAUUCAUACAAGAGAGGAACCAUAUAAAUGUAAUGUAUGUGGGAAAGUCUUCAGUCAAAAUUCAAACCUUGCAAGUCAUCAGAGAAUCCAUACCAGAGAAAAACCUUACAAAUGUAACGAAUGUGGCAAAGCCUUUAGUCAAAAUUCACACCUUGCAAAUCACCGGAGAGAAACCUUACAAAUGUAAUGAGUGUUGGAAAGCCUUUAGUGUGCACUCAAGCCUAACGAACCGUCAGGUAAUUCAUACUGGAGAGAAACCUUACCAAUGUAAUGAAUGUUGCAAGGCUUUUUGCCAAAGUUCGAAGCUUGUAAAACAUCACAGAAUACAUAGUGGAGAGAAACCACACAAAUGUAAUGUGUGUGGUAAAGCUUUUGUCCAAAGUUCAAGCCUGGUUGACCAUCAGAAAAGUCAUACUGGCGAGAAACCAAACAAAUGUAAUGUGUGCAGCAAAGCUUUUAUUGUGCUUUCAAACCUAAUAAGCCAUCAGAUAAUCUGUAUUGGAGAAAAGCCUUAUAAAUGUAAUGAAUGUGGCAAGGCUUUUAUCAAGCGUUCACACCUUAGGCAUCAUGAGAGAACUCAUACUGGAGAGAAACCAUACAAAUGUAUUGAAUGUGGCAAGGCAAUGAUCUGACAUCAGGAUUCACCAAAGAAUUCAUGCUGGAGAGAAACCUUACAAAUGUAAUGAGUGUGGCAAAUCUUUCAGUGUCCAUGCAAGCCUAAGUAAACAUCAGGUAAUCCAUACAGGUGAGAGACCUUACAAAUGUAAUGAGUGUGGCAAGGCUUUUAGCAGGGGUUCACACCUUAGGCUUCACGAGAAAAUUCAUACUGGAGAAAAGCCAUACAAAUGUAUUGAAUGUGGCAAGGCUUUUAGACAAUGGUCUGACCUCAGGAUUCACCAAAGAAUUCAUGCUGGAGAGAAACCUUACAAAUGCCACGAGUGUGGCAAAGCCUUUACUCGAGGGUCACACCUCACCAGUCAUCAGAUAAUCCAUACUGGAGAGAACCUUACAAAUGUACUGAACAUGGCAAGGCUUUUAGGUAUUGCCUUAAACUCCGGUUUCACCAAAUAGCUCACAUUUACAAGUGUAACAAAUGUGGCAGAGUUUUAAAUUAGUACUCUUCACUGGAUGUGAUUAAAUAUCCAGUAGAGAAACCACACAAAGGUAAUGUGUA